rnacentral:rRNA from 1 species
GAUGAACGCUGGCGGCGUGCCUAAUACAUGCAAGUCGAGCGAACGGACGAGAAGCUUGCUUCUCUGAUGUUAGCGGCGGACGGGUGAGUAACACGUGGAUAACCUACCUAUAAGACUGGGAUAACUUCGGGAAACCGGAGCUAAUACCGGAUAAUAUUUUGAACCGCAUGGUUCAAAAGUAAAAGACGGUCUUGCUGUCACUUAUAGAUGGAUCCGCGCUGCAUUAGCUAGUUGGUAAGGUAACGGCUUACCAAGGCAACGAUGCAUAGCCGACCUGAGAGGGUGAUCGGCUACACUGGAACUGAGACACGGUCCAGACUCCUACGGGAGGCAGCAGUAGGGAAUCUUCCGCAAUGGGCGAAAGCCUGACGGAGCAACGCCGCGUGAGUGAUGAAGGUCUUCGGAUCGUAAAACUCUGUUAUUAGGGAAGAACAUAUGUGUAAGUAACUAUGCACAUCUUGACGGUACCUAAUCAGAAAGCCACGGCUAACUACGUG